AUUGAACGCUGGCGGCAGGCCUAACACAUGCAAGUCGAGCGGCAGCGGAAAGUAGCUUGCUACUUUGCCGGCGAGCGGCGGACGGGUGAGUAAUGUCUGGGAAACUGCCUGAUGGAGGGGGAUAACUACUGGAAACGGUAGCUAAUACCGCAUAACGUCGCAAGACCAAAGAGGGGGACCUUCGGGCCUCUUGCCAUCAGAUGUGCCCAGAUGGGAUUAGCUAGUAGGUGGGGUAAUGGCUCACCUAGGCGACGAUCCCUAGCUGGUCUGAGAGGAUGACCAGCCACACUGGAACUGAGACACGGUCCAUACUCCUACGGGAGGCAGCAGUGGGGAAUAUUGCACAAUGGGCGCAUGCCUGAUGCAGCCAUGCCGCGUGUAUGAAGAAGGCCUUCGGGUUGUAAAGUACUUUCAGCGGGGAGGAAGGUGCUGAGGUUAAUAACCUCAGCAAUUGACGUUACCCGCAGAAGAAGCACCGGCUAACUCCGUGCCAGCAGCCGCAGUAACAC
rnacentral:rRNA from 1 species